UAUGACUGUUAAAAAUUUCAGUUACAAGUGUUUGUUACGUAACAGGUUCAGAAAACGAACUGUUACUGGUUAAAAAAACAAACUUUAUUUAACGUUAAUCUAUUUUUUAAAACAACGACAAAACUGUGAUAAAAAGAAAAAUAAAGAGAGAAAUUCAAAUAAUAAAAAAUAUAAUGUUCGCGCGUUAAUUGUUGCCAUUGAAUAAUCGAAUGUGUUGCCAUUUAGAAAAUGUCUCAAGAAUCGACGAUGACGAAGAAUUUUUUGACCGUGACCAGUAUCGUUAAUGAGGGGUUCAAGGGCGCCAAGAUCUCCCAACUGGGACUGUCAAAAUAUCUGUCGCAAUCACU
rnacentral:misc_RNA from 1 species